GACGAACGCUGGCGGCGUGCUUAACACAUGCAAGUCGAACGGAAAGGCCCAGCUUGCUGGGUGCUCGAGUGGCGAACGGGUGAGUAACACGUGGGUGAUCUGCCCCUGACUUUGGGAUAAGCCUGGGAAACUGGGUCUAAUACCGGAUAUGACCAUGGGAUGCAUGUUCUGUGGUGGAAAGCUUUUGCGGUUGGGGAUGGGCCCGCGGCCUAUCAGCUUGUUGGUGGGGUAAUGGCCUACCAAGGCGACGACGGGUAGCCGACCUGAGAGGGUGAUCGGCCACACUGGGACUGAGACACGGCCCAG
rnacentral:rRNA from 1 species